rnacentral:rRNA from 1 species
CCUACGGGUGGCUGCAGUGAGGAAUAUUGGUCAAUGGACGAGAGUCUGAACCAGCCAAGUAGCGUGAAGGAUGACUGCCCUAUGGGUUGUAAACUUCUUUUAUAUGGGAAUAAAAUGUUCCACGUGUGGGAUUUUGUAUGUACCAUAUGAAUAAGGAUCGGCUAACUCCGUGCCAGCAGCCGCGGUAAUACGGAGGAUCCGAGCGUUAUCCGGAUUUAUUGGGUUUAAAGGGAGCGUAGGUGGAUUGUUAAGUCAGUUGUGAAAGUUUGCGGCUCAACCUGUGUAUUGCACUUGAUACUUGCAGUCUGGAAUGCGGUAGAGGUAAAGGGAAUUCCUGGUGUAGCGGUGAAAUGCUUAGAUAUCAGGAGGAACAUCGGUGGCGUAAGCGCUUUACUGAGCCGUAAUUGACGCUGAGGAACGAAAGCCAGGGUAGCAAAUAGGAUUAGAUACCCUGGUAGUC